rnacentral:lncRNA from 1 species
GGUUGCUUGAUGAUUCUCUCGAGAACCAUGGACUCCAGGCGAGGUUACAGGCUUCUGAAACCUCUGCAGGAUCGCGGCUUCAAAGUUCAUGCAGUGACACCAGACUUGUCAUUUCUGUUCAAGAACACCCCAGCCGAGGCCUGGUUUGCUGAGAUGAAGAAAGGCAUCAAAGACCCUGGUGAGAUUCCAUUAGCUCAGAACCUGUCUAAUUUAAUGAGACUAGCAGUUCUAUACAAGUAUGGAGGUGUGUACCUGGACACAGAUUUCAUCGUCAUGAAAUCGUUUUCCGGGUUGAGGAACUCAAUCGGUGCACAAAGUAUGGAUGCUGAGAUGAAACACUGGACCAGACUAAAUAAUGCAGUGCUGGUGUUUGAUAUGAAUCAUCCUCUUCUGCACAAAUUCAUUGAGGAGUUUUCCUUGACUUUUGAUGGGAAUAAAUGGGGUCAUAAUGGACCCUAUCUUGUUUCCAGAGUGGUCCAGAGAGUGGAAAACAGACCUGGAUAUAACUUUACAGUCCUGCCUCCAAUGGCUUUCUAUCCUGUGGAUUGGACUAGAAUAGGGGGAUUGUUUAAGAAGCCGAAAAACCAUGCUGAUACUAAAUGGAUAAAAGCAAAGCUGCUUCAGCUUAGCGGGGAGACUUAC